AUUGAACGCUGGCGGCAGGCCUAACACAUGCAAGUCGAGCGAGCGGCGGACGGGUGAGUAAUGUCUGGGGACUGCCCGAUAGAGGGGGAUAACUACUGGAAACGGUAGCUAAUACCGCAUACUAUCGGAUAACCCAUAUGGGAUUAGCUAGUAGGUGAGGUAAUGGCUCACCUAGGCAACGAUCCGUAGCUGGUUUGAGAGGAUGACCAGCCACACUGGAACUGAGACACGGUCCAGACUCCUACGGAGGCAGCAGUGGGGAAUUUUGGACAAUGGGGGAAAGCCUGAUGCAGCCAUGCCGCGUGUGUGAUGAAGGCCUUCGGGUUGUAAAGGACUUUUAGCAGGGAAGCGUUAUCUGCAGAAGAAGCACCGGCUAACUACGUGCCAGCAGCCGCGGUAAUUC
rnacentral:rRNA from 1 species